CCAAUGAGAAAUUAGUAGGGUUUUGUCUUCCCUGAUCUGUGUUUGUAUUUGAUGGAAACACAAGAAUGACUUGAGCAUGCUCUUAAGAGCUUAAAAAAAGAAACAGAACCCAGAAUAUUAACACAAGUUCUUAACAAUAUGGAUAAUUCUCUAGGGGUACCAAAGCCCCUGAGAGGACAUAGAGCAAAUCAAAUAUCCAGGGGAUCUCUGUGAACCUUUACCCUCCCCUCAUCUCAGGUACUUUCUUUGUCCUGCUAGUAUAGUCUUUAGAGCUAGGGAGGCAAGGAAUGUAACAGCAUUUUGUUAACUAUAGAAGCAGCCAAAUAUGUGUUUCUAUCCCUAUCAACUUCUGUAUUUUUUUUUAGGGUCAUCUGAGUAUGCACCCACUUGCUUCAAUGGCCUUUAAAAUGUCAUGAGGAUAGGGAUUGUGCUGUAGAGGCUGGAAUACUGUCUUUGAAGUUGGGUUCUGUUAUGGUUUGUUUGAAUGUUUGUGUUCCCUCCAAAAUUCAUGUUGAAACUUAAUCCCCAAUGCAACAGUAUUAAGAGGUAGGGCCUUUAGGAGGUAACAACUAGGCCAUGGGGGCUCUGCCCUCAUGAGUGGAUUAGGGCCUUCAACUCUCUGGGGUUGAAGCCACAGGCAGUUUCUGGGUAUGUUGUUCAGAUUUUGGAGAUCAAGACAAGGAAGGCAGUGUCUAGUGAGCCAUUACCCAGGAAUAACUUCAUUUAAAAAGCAUUCCUCCAAUUCUUCCUUCCUCCAGAUCCCUUCUUCUUCUGACUUCCAGAGGAAAGGCAGGCUCUGGUUCUGUGGCUCAGCAUAGUUUAGGGUGGUUAUAUUCAGUGGAAUUAUUCAUACCAGGAUGUGCAACAGGCUUGAAGAACUCCCUGCCUUUCAAAGUGCUGAGAUUUCUGGCCCAAAGAGAACGCAUUUAGAGACAGCAAAGAGGGAAAAAACUCUCCUCAUCUUGGUUUAUUCUUUAGGAGUUUGAGGAAAACAACAUAAAUAGCAUUGACAAAGGGAACUGAGCAAUAGGAAUGAAAGUUUGAAGUUAUGGUGGCCUAUUCUCACAUUGUCUCUGAGAUCUAAGGCUUAGUAGUUUCUUAUUGGGAAUAAAUCACCUUAGGAAUACUUAGGUCUGUCGGAUACCACAGAUGAACUGAGUGUGGUGGUGUGUACCUAUAGACCUAGCUACUCGGGGGGCUGAGGAGGGAGGAUCCAAGGAACUGAUCUGUUGGUCAGAUGUGUUAAAAGAAAAACUUCAGCCAAAUUCAAUUUGAAGGAGUUUAAUUGAGCAGUGAAAGAUUUGUGAAUCGGGCAGCCCCUAAAAUCACAGCAGAUUCUGAAAGACUCCAGGGAUGCCUCAUGGUCAGAACAAAUUAAUAGAUUAAAAAAAAAGUGAUGUAUAGAAAUUGGAGGUGAGGUACAGAAACAGCUGGAUUGGUUACAGGUUGACGUUUACCUUCUUUGAACACAGUUUGAAUACUGAGCAGUCUAUGAGUGGUUGAAGUAUGGCCUCUGAAAUUGGCCAAGACUCAGCUAUUGCUACAGGCACAUAUUCCUAAAUUAGGUUUCAACCUUGUCUGCCUAUUAAGCUAGGUUACAGUUCAUCCACAAGGACUCAGAUGUAGAAGCAUGGAGUCCUUCUCAGGCUAUAUUUAGUUUGCUUUAACAGAUACCAUGUAGUAAUAGGAGAAAUAGCAAAAUUUAUAAAUAAUAAUAUUCAAAAAGAAAGUUUAAGGCCUGGAUGACUCACGAGACCCAGGGUUCACAGAUAAUGGCUGAAGGAGAAUUUCAAGGCAAAUUUAAGCCUUCCACUUCCUAAAGCAUAUACAAGGCAAUAUUUCUAGUUUAUUUGGUCAUUUCAUUUUUUUAAAAAAUCAGUCAAAUUAAUCAUUUGUGUUACAUGAAAACAAAUAGACUAGAAUCUCUGAAAGGUACAUCUUAGAGCUUACCCUAAGAACAAAGUACUACAUUAAGUAACCACACUUAGCAUCAAGAAACAAGUGCCUAAUCUCUUAUAGUGUUAUUAAAAAGUGUAAUUGGCCUGGCUAUUCAACAUCAGGCAAACCUCCUUAAGUUAUUCAGCUAUUCAUCCAUUCCAAAAAAUCAAAUUUCAUAUCUGUCUAUUGCGUAAGUGUUUGCUAUCUUUUAAAACUUGAGGAUUACAUUUGACCCAACCAUUUUUUUCUUACACAAGACUCCAUCUCAAAAAAAAAUUACUUAUAAAAGGUUUAUAAGUGAAAAUAGCUUUGAAAAAUGGAAUAAUUAAAAUGAAAAGCAUGAGUAACAACACCAAAUAUUUUAAAAUAUUUUAAAGUGUAAAUAAUUAAAUCAAUAUAAUCCUGGGCCAAGAAUUAGCAGGCAGAUCAAGGAAUGGAAUAGACAGAAAUAGACACUGAUAUAUAUGAUAUGUUAACAUAUGAUAGUGAAAGCAAUAAGGAUUACUGUUUGUUUGUUUUUGAGACAGAGUCUCACUCUGUCGCCCAGGCUGGAGUGCAGUGGGGUGAUCUCAAGUCACUGUACCCUCUUGCCUCCCCGGUUCAAGCAAUUCUCCUGCCUUAGCCUCCUGAGUAGCUGUGACUACAGGCAUGUUCCACCACACCUGGCUAAUUUUUGUAUUUUUUGUAGAGAUGGGGUUUUGCCAUACUGCCCAGGCUGGCCUCAAACUCCUGGCCUCAAAUGAUCUGCCUACCUCGGCCUCCCAAAAUGCUGGGAUUACAGGCAUGAGCCACUGUUCCUGGCCAGAAGUAAAGAUUUCUAGGGAAGGAAAGAAUUAUUAAGUAAAUAUUGCUAGAAUAGUUAACUAGCUGUUAGAAAAAAUAUUAAUUUAGUUUCAUAAUAUACACUAGAAUAAAUUCCAGGUGAAAGAAUUUGAGAAAAUAGACUAAAAGAAUUUUAAUAGACAAUAUAAGACAAUAUAGAAAAUGGGUGGCUCAUGCCUGUAAUCCCAGCAUUUUGGGAGGCCAAGGUGAACAAAUCACCUGAGGUCCCAAGUUCUAGACCAACCUGGCCAGCAGGAUGAAACUCCAUCUCUACUAAAAAUACAAAAAUUAGCCAGAUAUGGUGGCAUGCGCCUGUAAUCCCAGCCACUUGGGAGGCUGAGGCAGGAGAAUCGCUUGAACCCGGCAGGUGAAGGUUGCAGUGAGCUGAGAUCACGCCACUGCACUCCAGCCUGGGUGACAGAGCGAGACUCAAAAAGAAAAUGUAGAAAAAAUAUGAUCUUUAAAUGGAAAGGGAUUUUUGAAACUUCUUCUAACUUAAAUAAAACCUUAUCAAGGAGCUGGUCUUUGACCACCUUGUCUAAAUUAACCACCCUCGCCGCUUUAUUCUGUUUUAGCACCCUAUUUUAUUUCCUUAGUUACAGUUACAACAAUCUAUGAUUAUGCUUUUUAAAAAGUCUAUUAGCUUACUGAUUUAUUGCUUUUCUUACCAAAUAUAAAUUCUUUUUUUGGGGGGGUAGGUGGGGGACCAGGUCUUGCUCUGUUGUCCAGGCUGGAGUGUAAUGGUGUGAUCAUAGCUCACUGCAGCCUCAAACUUUUGGGGUCAAGUGAUCCUCCUGCCUCUGCCUUCUGAAUAGCUGAGACUACUGGCAUGCACCACCUUGCCCAUUUAAUUUUUAAAUUUUUAUUUGUAGAGAGAGGAUCUUGCCAUGUUGUCCAGGAUAAUCUGAAACUCUUGGUCUUAAGCAAUUCUCCUGAAUUGGCCUCCUGAGGCACUGGGAUUACAGGUGUGAGCCACCCUACCUGGCCAAAUAGAAACUCUUUGAAGGCAAGAAAUAUGUCUCCUUUACUGCUGUAUCUUUAGUGUUCCUGUAUAGUUUCUGGCACAUAGCAAGUCUUCGGUGAAUAUUUGUUGAAUGAAUGAAUAAAUGAAUAAGCUUAAACUCAAAAGAAGAAAAUACAAGAGGAAAAGUUAAGAUGCCUAUUUAAAAACUUUUAAACUUUCUUGAAAAAAAUCAAUAUCUAAGUUAAGACACAAAAAUGGAAAUAAUUACAAGACAUGAUGCAAAAGAUAUUUUUUAUGAAGCAUAUAUAUCAAUAAAAAAGAAAUAUACUGAUAGUAUCUAUUAGUAUGUAUGGACAAUUAACAGAAGAGCAAAUAAAGACUAAUAAAUAUUUGCAAAAAGAGGUCUUGUUUCACUAGUAGUCAGAGAAAUAGAAAACAAAACAGCAAUGAAUUAUCAUUUUCAUUUAGCAGAUAAUCAAAUACUGGAAAAAAGUCACGAAUAUCCUAUACCCUGAUAACGGAGGGUGAAAAGGGCACUUUAUACAUUAUUGAUGGACAUAUAAUGUAGAAUACCUUAUUAGAAAACAUUGGGAAUAAACAUUCAAGAUAUUUUAAAAAUACUUAUUUCCUUGGUCUCUACAGUCUAGUUCUACCUUAAGGAAAUAUUAGGAAAUGCAGAUAAAGAUAUAUAAAUAAAGAUAUUCUUCACAGUGUUAUUUAUAGUAGUAAAAAAACAAAGAUCAAUCUAAACCUCCAACAUUAGGGGAAUGGUUAAGUAAAUUAGAGUAUACUCGAAGUCUGCAUAUGACUUAUGCAGCCUUUGCAAAUGAUAUUUAGGAAUAAUAAAAUGAUAUGAGAAAUGCUUAUGGUGUAAAGUUAAAUGAAAAAUGGAUGGUAUAAAAUCAUGGAUCACAGUAUGAUCUCAAAUAUGCAAAGCAAAAAGGGAAAUAUAACAAGGUUAAUAGUUUAGGGUUAGGAUUAUGGGUAACUUUUAUACUUUAUAAUGUUUUAUAUUUUUGUAGUUUAUCAAGUUUUAAAAAAUGAACAUAUAUUACUUUCAUAAUUGAAAAGCAAGUUUUCUUUCUUUUUAAGCAUACAAUGUUGGACAUAUAGAUCUCUCUGUCCUGUAAUCGUUGGUGAUAAAACUUAGUGAGCAAUAGGGUUUUGUUUGCCUCAAGUUAAAAUUCAUUGCUUUAAUUGCAAAAGUUAAUUUAUGAGCCAAAAAUUUUAUACAGCAGGUUGUUUGGUUGAUGAAAGUAUCCAAAGAAAGAACUGAGCAUCUGAUUUUUCUUAUCUCUUCAGAGCCCUUGUGGCAUUGAUUUCUGCUCUCUCAUUAUAUUGUAUGUUUUAUUUUUAGUUAUAAAAUAUGUUUUAUUGCCUUUAAUCUGAUAUACCUUUAUAAGCUUGAAUUAAAACAUGAGAUGAUUUUCUGAACUCACGUUUUUACCAUGUUAGUGAAAGUUAAGAUCGAAAACUGCAAGUAGUAGGUUCUGAACUCAAAGUCACAGUCAUCCGUGUUCUAAUUAAUCAAUUAUUGCAGAAGUUUGGUAGAGAAAGGUUUCCCGGUUGUUUUUCUCCCCCCCACAACAGCCAUCUUUACUUCUGUCAAGAAUUAUUUUGACUUUGUUAACAGCUCUCUCAUUAUAUGCAUUUUAAAAAGAAAAGCUGUUAAUCAAUCUGCUUGAAUUGUUUUUUCUUUUUUCUUGAUUUCAGUAGAUCCUGGAUGAAGUACUCACUAAAGUUUAGAGUAUCACCUUAAGACCUGGGCAAAGGGCCCCCUGCUUUGGAUCUUGUAUCACAAAUGUUCAAAAUAUAAGUGUCAUUUAGGAUCCAGCACUAAGUGGCAUAGUACAAUUUGUAAUCCAAAUGUCCACUGUAGUGACUAACACCAUUCAGGCUCCAGCUAACCCUUCCCUUCAUCUCUUGCCCUGUGUCAUUGAAACAAAAAGUGAUUCUGUGUGAACGUCAUGAAGGUUAUGGGCUGUUGAUGCUGGUUAUGAACGCUGCUUUGGAGUAUAGGGAGGAUUUGAAUGACAGAAAUUCUUAGGUGAGGGAAAAGACAAAUUAAUUAGCACAAAUGCAGUAGAAUCUUGCACAUUGAAGUAUCAUUUUGCAGGGCUGUGGAGCAUCUAUUUUCUUGUUUCUCUUUGUAUUCCAGUAUGUGGUUCUGGAGAUAUAAAUUAGGAUGAUAUUUGUUAACAGUGGCUCAUGGCAGUUGAGGAAUAUUUUGCAAUAUUAAACAAUUUAUAUUACUCUUAAAUUUUAUAUAUGAAGGUCCUGAUAUUGUGGACAUUGGCAGUAGAUGAGCCUUGAACUCUAGGAUUGUGAGUAGUUCUGUUUUUGUAAAAAUACACAAUAGGACUUAAUUCAUUUUUAAAAAAAUUACAUUAAAGUUUAAACUUUAUUAUAGUAAGUUUACUUAAAAUUUGAUAAUAGUUAUAAUUUGUAUUUUGUAUUUAAAUUUUUAUAGACAAUUCUAUAUUAGAAUAUUUUAGAAAAAAGAUAAUGUAUGAUAGCUGGGCACAGUGGCACAUAUCUGUAGUCCUUGCUACUCAGGAGGCUAGGUGAAAGGAUCACUUGAGCCCGGGAAUUUAAGCCCAGCUUGGGCAACAGAGCGAGACCCCAUCUCUUAAAAAAAAAGGGUCUGUCUAAGCCCAGACACCAGUCUUCACUUCCUGUGAGCCCCGAGGAAGCCCUCUCUCCCCAGACAUGGCCAACAAGGGUCCUUCUUAUGGCAUGAGGUGCGAAGUACAGUCCAAAUUGAGAAGACGUACAAUGAGGAGCUGGAGGAAUGGCUGGUGGAGUGGAUCAUAGUGCAGUGUGGCCCUGAUGUGGGCUUCCCAGACUGUGGGCACCUGGGCUUCCAGAUCUGGCUAAAGAAUGGCGUGAUUCUGAGCAAGCUAGUGAACAGCCUGUACCCUGAUGGCUCCAGGCCAGUGAAGGUGCCUGAGAUCCUGCCCUCCAUGGUGUUCAAGCAGAUGGAGCAGGUGGCUCAGUUCCUGAAGGCAGCUGAGGACUAUGGGGUCACCAAGACUUAUUCUAGACUGUUGAUGUCUUUGAAGGCAAAGACAUGGCAACAGUGCAGAGGACCCUGAUGGCUUUGGGCAGCUUGGCAAUGACCAAGAAUGAUGGGUACUACCAUGGAGAUCCCAACUGGUUUAUGAAGAAAGUGCAGGAGCAUAAGAGGGAAUUCACAGAGAGCCAGCUGCAGGAGGGAAAGUAUGUCAUUGGCCUUCAGAUGGGCAGCAACAGAGGGGCCUCCCAGGCUGGCAUGACAGGCUACAGAUGACCUCGGCAGAUCACCAGUUAUGGAGAGAGGGCCAGCCCUGAGCCCUGCCAUUCCCCUGCUCCUUGGCUGCAGGCAUCCGACUUAGCCUGCCUUACCCAUACCCAUGUGGUACCUUCAGCCCUGGCCAAGCUUUGAGGCUCUGUAACUGAGCAAUGGUAACUGCACAUGGGCAGUUCCUGCCCCGUCCCCCUAGCCUCAGCCUAACUUCUUACCUGAAAGCACCACUGCCCUGGCCCCUUCCUCCAGCUGGCCCCACCACCCCUACUGUCUUCCCACUGGGCUAAGCAGGGGAGAAGCGGGCUGAGGGUAACCUGGAUAUGGGGCAAGUCCACUGUCCUCCUUGGCAGCAAAAGCCCAUUGAAGAAGAACCAAUCCAGCCUCCCCCUAUCUUUUUCUGGAAUAUUUUUGGGGUUGGAACUCAAAAAAGGAAUAAAAAAUACAUCAAUCUUUAAAAAAAAAAAAAAAAAAAAAAGAACCAGGCACAGAAGCUCAUGCCUGUUAUCGUAGCACUUUGGGAGGCUGAGCAGGGUGGCUGUCUUGAGCCCAGGAGUUCAAGAUCAGCCUGACCAACAUGGCAAAACCUUGUCACUACAAAAAAUACAAAUUUUUGUAUUUAGCUGGUGUUUGGUGGUGCUGCCUAUAGUCCCAGCUACUUGGGAGGCUGAGGCAUGAGAAUUGCUUGAACCUGGGAGGCAGAUGUUGCAGUGAGCUGAGAUUACUGCACUCUGGCGUGAGCAACAGAUUGAGACUGACUCAGAAAAAAGAACAUAACAUUUGAAAACCAAUAUGAAACUUUUAAUUUUUAAUUUUUCACAUUUAAUGUAGACUUUGAUGAUCUUUAGAUUUUUGUUUUUGAGACGGAGUUUUGCUCUUGUUGCCUAGGCUACAUACAGUGCAAUGGCACAGUCUCAGCUCACCUCAACCUCCACUUCCCAAGUUCAAGCGAUUCUCCUGCCUCAGCCUCCUGAGUAGCUGAGAUUACAGGCAUAUGCCACCACGCCCAGCUAAUCUUGUAUUUUUUUUUUUUUUUUUUUGAGACGGAGUUUCGCUCUUGCUACCCAAUGGCGCGACCUCGGCUCACCGCAAUCUCCGCCUCCUGGGUCCAGGCAAUUCUCCUACCUCAGCCUCCCGAGUAGCUGGGAUUACAGGCAAUCUUGUAUUUUUAGUAGAGGCAGGGUUUCACCAUGUAAGGCCAGUCUUGAACUGCUGACCUCAGGCGAUCCACCUGCCUUAUCCUCCCAAAGUGCUGGGAUUACAGGCGUGAGCCACCAUGCCUGGCCCAUGACCUUUAGAUUUUAUACACUUUUUCUUUUUUUUUUGAGACAGAGUCUUAUGCUGUCACCAGGCUGGAGUGCAAUGGCGCGAUCUCGGCUCACCGCAACUUCCGCCUCCUGGGUUCAGGCAAUUCUCCUGCCUCAGCCUCCUGAGUAGCUGUGACUACAGGUGCACACCACCACGCCCAGCUCAUUUUUGUAUUUUUAGAAGAGACGGGGUUUCACCAUGUUGACCAGGAUGAUCUCUAUCUCUUGAUCUCGUGAUCCACCUGCCUCGGCCUCUCAAAGUGAUGAGAUUACAGACAUGAGCCAUUGCGCCUGGCCUACACUUUUUUUUUAAUAUCAAUGUUUAUUUUGUAAUUGAUGUGAAAAUUAUAUGUAUUUAUAGUGUACACUAUGAUGUUUUGAUAUAUGUAUACAUGUGGAAUGAUUAAAUCAAGCUAAUUAACAUACCCUUCACAUUACAUCCUUAUCAUCUUUUUGUGAUGAGAACUUUUAAAAUCUAUUGUCUUAGCAAUUUUCAAGCAUCCAAUAUAUUAUUAUUAAACAUUUUUUAUGCUCUAAAUAAAUUGAAUUUAUUUUUAAUCCUUUGGAUACUUACUGAUAAUAUGACACAAAUUAUAAGAAAAGCUUAUAACAUGAUUAUUUGAUAAAAUUAAAGUAGAUAAAUUGUAUGCACUAUAUUGUAAUUUAAAAAUUAUAUAUGUCUUUAUCUUAUUAUUUAUUUAGACACUGCCAGCUCAUCAACAUUACAUCCAGACCUGUGCAAUAAUGCUUAAAUUCAGUUGUCUUUGAUAUUCUGUCAACUUUUAGUUACAUACAAAUCAUAACUUUAGGCCAGGCAUGGUGGCUUACACCUAUAAUCCCAGCACUUUGGGAGACUGAAGUAGGAGGAUGGCUUGAGGCCAGGAGUUCACCAUGAGCAGUAUAACAAAAUUCUGUCUCUACAAAAAAGAAACAAACAAAACUUAGCCAGGCAUGAUUGGCAUGUGCCUGUAUUCCCAGCUACUCAGGAAGCUGAGGUGGGAGGAUUCGGUGAGCCCAGGAGUUCAAGGCUGCAGUGAGCCGGGAUUGUACCACUGCACUCCCACCUGGGCGACAGUGAGAUACUGUCUCAAAAACAAAAUUAUAUUUUUAUACAUAUUUUAAAAUUUUUGUCAAGGCACAUGAAUCAAACUUUUUUUAACAGUUGGUUUUAUAACGUUUACAUUUUUAGAGACAUACUGUGGGCUUUCAUUUAUAUUCUGGCUGUGGACCUUGCAAAUAUUAGGCCUGGAUUUGCUUAAAAUUAUCUUAUUUGUUUGCUUUAGAGUUUAAUUAUUUUAAAAUAAGUGAUAUUUUAAAAAUUUUAGAUGUACCAUUGUUUAUCAAAAACUUGGGAAAUACCAUGAGGAGAAAAAUAAUAUUGCCACUGUAAUACCUCAUUUUGGCAUUUUAAAGGAUUAUCCACUUUAAAAUGUGUCUUAAAUUUAUUCUUUCUCAAACUCCAUUGCCAUUCUAGUCAUCCUAGAUUAAGCCACAUCAUUUCUCACCUGAACUAAAGCAAUAGUGUAGUUUACUUGUCUCUCUCUGUUUUCUUUUACCUCCUUCUAGUUAUUUUUCCACGCUGCAUCAGAAUGGAUUUUGAAAAAAUAUAUAAAUGAGAUAAUGUUGCUUUUUCCUUACCUAAAGCUUGUUGACAGUAUCUAAUUGAGGUUGUAGCAAAAAUUCAAAUUAUCUACUAUUCCUUAUGAAGUCUUACAUGAUAUCUACCUCUCCAAUUUUCUGUCAUAUCUCUCCUCUUCCCCACAUCUAUUAGGUCCUUCCCAAUGUUAGCUUUAGGGAGAAGUUUUAAUAGGAAGCAGGAUAUCUUCUUGACCCUACAGGAAGAACUUUGUGAGGUGGUAGCUAGCUUGAUUAUUAAAUGGCAGCUAAAAUAAAUAUUUUAUUUUUGACAAUGCUUACUCUUAUGUCUAUAUUAUUAUAGGACCCCACCUUCUCUUAACGCUCUUCGAUGAUGGCUGGUUAAGUUUAAAGGGGUAAGGUAGAGGUAGGGAUGGGAACUGGCAACAUAAAUUGGGAGAUAUUUAAAAAAUGCUACUGCUUUUAUAAUAAAAAUCCAUUUUUUAGAUAGAACAUAGUUUAACAAGUUUCCCACUGAUGGAUAUAGAUUGUUUCUAAUUCUCCAGUCCCAUUGUAAAUACCACAUUAUAAACAAUGACCUUAGUGGUUAAAUAUUAGGAAUUAUCUUAAGGAAGUAACAUUCUGUGGUACACUGAUGUUUGAACAUGCCUGAUACAGCCUCAUAUCCAGACCUAAUCAGUAUCCUAUGAUGCCAUGGCAGACAAAUACGUCAAAGCAUAAAAACCUUGGGAAUAACUUUUAGUAGGAUUUCAUUUGGAAUGUUGGCGUCUGUUAAUUGUAUAGAGUUCUUUUAUCCCUGUAAUCUUUGGCUAUGCCUCAAAAUGUAAGCCCGUUCAGGCACUGAACCCCUCCAAUACCUUCUUGCCCAUUUCAUUCAGAGCAUCCAUCCUCUGAGGAACCUGAUUCCUUUGCUGACUUAACUAGAAAUGUGCCUUAUCUCACAGUCCAGGUCUCACAGGACUGAAUACAGUAGUCCCCACUUAUCCUUGAGGGAUAUCUCCCAAGAUCCCCACUGAAUAUCUGAAAUUACGGAUAGUACUGAACCCUAUGUCCACAGUGUUUUUUUCCUGGACAGCAAUGGAUGGGUUGUGUAUGCAGCAUGAUAUAAAAGAGAUGAUUUAUCCUAGUCAGGAUGGAGCAGAAUGAUGAGAAAUUUCAUUAUGCUCCUUGGAAUGACAAUUUAAAACUUACAAAUUUUAUAUUUCUUAGAUUUUUCUAUUUAAUAUUUUUGCACCAUGGUUGAUCCCAGGUAACUGAAAUCAUGGAAGGCAAAACCCCAGACUGGGAGACUACUGUAUAUAUAUUCAGUUGAACCUCAUUCAAGGAUUCUAUAUUUAUGAAUUCACCUACUCACUAAAAUUUUUUUGUAACUCUAAAAUCAAUACUCGGCACUUGCGUGGUCACUUGUGGAUGUGUGCAGGGUAGUUCAAAAUUUGAGUCACCCAAUGACCCAUUCCCAAGUGAGGUUGAACAAGGCAACAUUGUCUUCUUAUUUCAGUUCUCAUACUGUAAACAGUCAUCCUUUUGUGGUUGAUUUAGUGUUGCUUUUUUUUUUUUUUUUUAACAUGCUUGUGCUUUCUGUUGGUGAUUUCACUGUUUGAAUGGCCCCCAAAUGUAGUACUGAAGCCUGUGAUGUGCCUUAAGGAGAAAACAUGUGUUAGAUAAGCUUUGUUCAGGCAUAAGUUAUAGCGCUGUUACCAUGAGUAUAUUAAAUAAAGUAUUGUUAAGCAGAAACACU